UGAAAGCACCCAUCAUCUCCCAGCAUGCCCUGGGGUGAUGGUACACUGAUACCCAACAGCACCAAGGCCACCAAAUCAAGCUUGCCACCUCUUGUUUAUAUCCUCGCUGUCUGUCCAGGGCAAGACACUGCCACCACCAAUCAGCUCUUCUCUGCUUUCCCUGGCUAGGAGGAAGAGGUGGACCAUUCCCUGACCUGGGACCUCUGCUAAUGCCACAGAGCUAAGAGUCACCACCCCCAGCUCAUCAGAGAUAGCAGUGUCCAAAAGCCAAACAGCUUUGACUUUGAACUCGACCUGCCAGGACAAAGACAACCACCCCACUGUCCCCAAACAGCCAGAAACAACAGGCAGAGGCUCCAGGGGAGGUGGCAAGCCAGAACUGGCAGGUCAAGCCCAGCCCCACGUCAGAGUAGACUCCGAGGCAGGCGGACACUGGGCCACACUCUCUCAGGCCUAGCUUGGCUCUCUGGGCCUGGGGUUUGUCCUUGAGUACUGCAAGGCCGGAGUCAUGAAAGCCAUGGCUGGGUCUGGCCUGUCCUCCUCGGGACCCACUGAAAGAAAAAUCCCCUGCUGAGUCCACCUAAGAGAUGUCCUGCCGCACCUUCCGUUGGUCACCCACAGCCUGAACAUCUGGCAAAAACAGAGAGGCAUUUCAAGACCCUGGCACCCUUAGGCAGCUGUGACUCCUGCAAACUACCCUGCAGCUUAUCAGCCUGGUAAGAUCUGCCCACGGACGCAUUAGUGGCACGGAUAUUAUGGGUUUAGCCAAUACUCUCUGACUGGAUUUAAGGCCUUCUCCAUAGGACGAAAAACAUGCCCGAUACUAUAAAUCUGGCUGAGAAUCAAAUGGCUGAGACAGGCUCUGGGGGUGCUGUUCCCCCAUGACCCCAGAACUACUAUUUUGCUUACUGCCACACAGUGUAAAACUGCCCCUACAAUAUGUAUAUGGGCCACAGCAAUUGGAUUGAGUGGGUAAAUAAGGGGGAAAAAGAAAAGACAAGAAGAAAGUACUGGCUGUGGUGGCACGUGACUUUACUUCCAACGCUUGGGAGGCAGAGGCACAAGGAUCUAUGUGAGUUUAAGACCAGCCAGCACUAUCUAGUGAGAUCCUGUCUCGAAGGGGUGAACAAAACCAAAACCAAAACCAAAAUGGAUAUAAAAUCAGGAGUGGCCUGUAGGGGGAUCUGGGAGGAGUAGCAAGCGUGUAUCAUUGAAAUACGUUGUAUGAAUGUUGUGGUUCUCAAAGACUGAAUAAACGAUUUUACAUUUAAAAGAAGAGAAGACAUAGAUGCAGCUCAGUGGAAAAGAGCUUACCCAGCCCGUGCAAGGCCCUGGGUUCAAUCCCUACCACCACAACCAAAUCAACACAUGGUGGAAAACUAAAAAAAAAAAAAAAUUAAGAGCUGGCUCUCGGGGUGCACGCUGUUGGAGCACACGCCAGUCACUUUAGCGCUCAGGCAGCUAAGGCAGAGGGUUGACUGGCUUUCUGAGGCCAGCCUUGCUGCAUGGCAAUCACCCGCUUCACAACAGCAAGAGGACAAAACAAAGACAAAACAGGCUUUGCCAGGAAAAGGUCCCAGGAGGGUGUUCCAGCAAAGGCUGGCCUGCCGAGCAAGCGUGCGGGGCUCCGUGUCCACCCAUGACAGGAGUGUUUAUAAACCGAGACUCUAGGAAACAUCUGUGGAGCUGCUGGGAGAUUACCAACCUGCCUCUGCCAACACGAGACAAGUCCCACGGGUGCUCAUGGCUCCACUCGUGUGUGUGUGACCUGGUGGAUUAAAUUAGAUCCAUCCCCAGCCCUGAACAAAGUGGGCACAGUGCCCACCUCUGCCACCCCAGCCCUCCAGAAGCACAGGCAGGAGGAGCAGGAGUCCCAGGCCAUCCUCAGCUACAUAGUGAAUUCAGGGCUAGCCUGGGCUACGUAAGACCAUCUCAAAAAGAAAAAGGGAGGGGAAGGGGAAGGACUCAGUAUACUACUGGGGGAGAGAAUACAGAAGGAAAUAUGCACAGGGCGUUGUGAGUCCUACUGUGAGAAAUUCCAGAAUAAACAAGGCUGGCGUGUCUCAAUAAAGGUUUUUAUAUUCUUUUAA